CACGCCGUAAACGAUGAGCACUAGGUGUCGGGGCCGCAAGGCUUCGGUGCCGCAGUUAACGCAUUAAGUGCUCCGCCUGGGGAGUACGUACGCAAGUAUGAAACUCAAAGGAAUUGACGGGGACCCGCACAAGCAGCGGAGCAUGUGGUUUAAUUCGAAGCAACGCGAAGAACCUUACCAGGGCUUGACAUCCCUCUGACCGGCCGGUAACGCGGCCUUCCCUUCGGGGCGGAGGAGACAGGUGG
rnacentral:rRNA from 1 species